GCUGUAAUUAUUCCUGCUGGAAAUAUAAGGGAACCAGCUAAAAAAAUGGAAUACUCUGAAUUUGGACCAAAAAAGUCAUAAAGAAAAGGCUUGAAAUGUUAGAAAAGAAUGUCCAUAUGUUUGAGUCCAAUGAGGAACCCUUUGUAGUUUGGGGAAAACUGACUUCUCAUACCUACAAAUGGAAGGAAGACUGCAAGAACUAUUAUUCUAGAAGUUUUGUCCAGUUACAGAAGCAUCACUCGUUUGUUACCACUUGGACACUAUACACAUUCAGUGAGAAACUGCCACUAAGAUUGGCCAGAACUCCAAAGAUUUUCAGCCUUGUAAUUGGAACAUUUGCUCAUCUCACUGUUGAUUGCUGGCCUCAGUUGAAGACCCCUGAAGCAUGACAGGUGGCCCCAUCAGCCAAG